rnacentral:rRNA from 1 species
UACGUAGGCAGCAAGCGUUGUUCGGAAUUACUGGGCGUAAAGAGUGUGUAGGCGGUGCUCUAAGUUCGGUGUGAAAUCUCCCGGCUUAACUGGGAGGGUGCGCCGGAAACUGGAGUGCUCGAGCGUGGGAGAGGAAAGCGGAAUUCCUGGUGUAGCGGUGAAAUGCGUAGAUAUCAGGAGGAACACCUGCGGUGUAGACGGCUUUCUGGACCAUUGCUGACGCUGAGACACGAAAGCGUGGGUAGCAGACAGG